UGAACUAGCUUGUAUCUUUGGAAAGAUAUAACCAGCUGGUUUUUAUGUGAAGACUUUGUACUGUGCUUUAGGAUUGAAUAGUUCUAUCAGUGGGCCGUUUUCCAUCUUGAGUAGACAUUCAGUCCUGAUAUUUUUUCUAGUUAGGUUUAAGACAGCCUUGUAAACAUCUGUUUGCCUGUUUAUCCUUGACCUACCCUGAAGACUCGUCAUUUUAUAGACUGUUCUUGUACUAUCUCAUCAUCAGAAAGAGCAGGCUGGUGAUUAACUGUCAUAUUCCUACAGGUUUAAUUUAACUGCUUGUAAGAUAGUACACUUAUUGUAUAAUAAUAGAUUAUUGUUCAUUCCUUUGUUUUGAACAUUUGUUGCACAAUAUUAGGAUGGUAAUGUUUUGAUCAAAGUUUUUGAAGAUCAUACUGAAAUUUCAAGGAAACAGUUUUUGCUCUAGAAUGUUUUGGAAAAAUUGGUAGAUAACAUGUUAGAGAAAUGCUUUAAUGUAAUAUUUCUUAAAAAAAGAACUUCUAUUUAAAACUUAGAGUUAGUUGCUGGCGUGGCUGGGUGGCUCAGUCGGUUAAGUGUCUGACUGGCUCAGGUCAUGAUCUCACAGUUCAUGGGUUUGAGCCCUGCGUCAGGCUCUGUGCUAACAGCUCAGAGCCUGGAGCCUGCUUUGGAUUCUGUGUUUCCUACUCUCUGCCCCUACCCCCCUCACAGUCUGUCUGUUUCUCUCUCAAAAAUAAAUAAACAUCCAUCAAUC